ACCGUCCUCCCAAGUCCCGCGCCGCGCUCACCCCGAGACCCGCGUUCCUUACCGGGAGUCGACGGCGCCGUCGCCUUCCCGGCGCCGCCCCCACCCCUCCGCGCGGGGCCGGGGGCAGAAUGGGCGUCUCGUCUCUUCUCACGAAACAAAGAAGGCGCCGCCGCUGCCGCCGAGCGAGGCAACAUCUAAGCUGGUGUUCGACCAAACAGCUAAGCACCGUGUGCCAAAUUGACACCUAAAAUGAACCAUUGCAGAGAAAAUGAACUUCUUUCUUUUGACUCAACGUCAAGGGCUUGAAAUAAAAUGCUCACGCACGUCCAGCAGGUGAAAAUGUGAAAUGCAUCCUCUUCAGUUGCCACAGUAAAGUUGAGGUUUAUUAAGCUCUUCUAAAACGCUAGUUCGGAAUUAUUACACUUUGGACCUCCAUCAAGAAUAAUCACAAUAGGGGCUUCCCUGGUGGCGCAGUGGUUGAGAAUCUGCCUGCCAAUGCAGGGUACACGGGUUCGAGCCCUGGUCCGGGAAGAUCCCACAUGCUGCGGAGCAACUAAGCCCGUGUGCCACAACUACUGAGCCUGUGCUCUAGAGCCCGUGAGCCACAACUACUGAGCCCACGUGCCACAACUACUGAAGCCCACGCACCUAGAGCCCAUGCUCUGCAACGAGAGAAGCCACCGCAAUGAAAAGCCUGCGCACCGCAACGAAGAGUAGCCCCCACUCGCCGCAGCUAGAGAAAGCCUGCUCAGCAAGGAAGACCAAAAACAGCCAAAUAAAUAAAUAAAUAAAAAUAAUAAAGUUCCCUUUAAAAAAAAAGAAGAAGAAUUAGUGACAACAUCGAAUGCUGGCGAGGAUGUGGAGAAACUGGAAUACACUGGAAUACUCGUGGAAUAAUACAUUGCAGGUGGGGAUGUAAAAUGGUACAGCUACUCUGGAAAAUAGUUUGGCAGCCUCAGAAGAAACUAAACAGACCACUAUCAUAUGACCCAGUAACUGUACUCCUAGGUCUUAAUCCCAGAGAAAUAAAAAUGAAUGUUCACGCAAAACCUGUGCAUGAAUAUUCAUAGCAGCUUUAUCUGUAAUAGCCAAAAACUGGGAUCAACCCAGGCAUCCUUCACACAGGUGACUGGGUAAACAGACUGUGGUCCAUCUGUACCGUGGAUGACUCCUCAGCAAUUACAGAGAACUGGCUAUUGAUUCAUUCGACAACCUGAAUGAAGUAAUGUCAGGGAAUUAUGCAGUCACACUGAGAGAGAGAGAAAGCCAUACUGUAUGAUUCCAUUUAUGUAACAUUUUUGAAAUGGCAACAUUUUGGAGAUGCAGGACAGAUUAGCAGUUGCCAGAGGAGGUGUGUGUGAGGUUAUAAAAAGGCAGCACUAGGAAUCCUUAUGGUAUUGAAACUGUUUCGUUUCUUGACUGUGGUGGUGGAUAUGCAAACCCACACAGGUGGUACAAUUGAAUGGAACCUAAUACACACACAGGCACACACACAAGUGAGUACAAGCAAACCUGAGAAAAUCUGAAUAAGAUCAGUGAAUUGUAUCCAUGUCAAUAUCCUGUUAUAUCUCAAUAAAGCUGGGGGGCAGGGGGGAGUAAUGGGAAAAAUAUGUAUUUCUCUCUCCAGGCUGUGAUAUUAUACUAUCACUUUGCAAAAGAUUACCACUGGGGACUUGAACAGAUAUUUGCACACCCAUGUUCAUAGCAGCGUUAUUUACAACAGCCAAGAUGUGGAAGCAGCCCAAGUGUCCAUCAAUCGAUGACUGGAUAAACAAAAUGUAGCCCAUCCAUACAAUGCAACAUUAUUCAGCAUUAAAAAGGAAGGAAUUCUGACACUUGCUACAACAUGGAUAAACCUUGAGGACAUUAUGCUGAGUGAAAUAAGCCAGACACAAA